rnacentral:rRNA from 1 species
GACGAACGCUGGCGGCGUGCCUAAUACAUGCAAGUAGAACGCUGAAGGAGGAGCUUGCUUCUCUGGAUGAGUUGCGCACGGGUGAGUAACGCGUAGGUAACCUGCAUGGUAGCGGGGGAUAACUAUUGGAAACGCUAGCUCAUACCGCAUAAUAGCAGUUGUUGCAUGACAACUAUUUGAAAGGUGCAAUUGCGCCACUACCAGAUGGACCUGCGUUGGAUUAGCUAGUUGGUGGGGUAACGGCUCACCAAGGCGACGAUACAUAGCCGACCUGAGAGGGUGAUCGGCCACACUGGAACUGAGACACGGCCCAGACUCCUACGGGAGGCAGCAGUAGGGAAUCUUCCGCAAUGGACGGAAGCCUGACCGAGCAACGCCGCGUGAGUGAAGAAGGUCUUCGGAUCGUAAAGCUCUGUUGUAAGGGAAGAACGAGUGUGAGAGUGGAAAGGCCCCACUGUGCCGGUAUCAUACAAGAAAGGAACGGCUACCUCCGU